rnacentral:rRNA from 1 species
GCACAUAUGCUGGAAUGCUUUAUGCGUAAAAUGGAUUCGUCUGCCCAAGGAUGGGUCUGCGGCCUAUCAGGUAGUAGUGGGUGUAAUGUACCUACUAGCCAACAACGGGUACGGGUUGUGAGAGCAAGAGCCCGGAGAUGGAUUCUGAGACAUGAAUCCAGGCCCUACGGGGCGCAGCAGGCGCGAAAACUUUACAAUGCGGGAAACCGUGAUAAGGGGACACCGAGUGCCAGCGUCAUACGUUGGCUGUCCAGGUGUGUAAAAUACACCUGUUAGCAAGGGCCGGGCAAGACCGGUGCCAGCCGCCGCGGUAACACCGGCGGCCCGAGUGGUGAUCGUGAUUAUUGGGUCUAAAGGGUCCGUAGCCGGUUUGGUCAGUCCUCCGGGAAAUCUGAUAGCUCAACUAUUAGGCUUUCGGGGGAUACUGCCAGGCUUGGAACCGGGAGAGGUAAGAGGUACUACAGGGGUAGGAGCGAAAUCUUGUAAUCCCUGUGGGACCACCUGUGGCGAAGGCGUCUUACCAGAACGGGUUCGACGGUGAGGGACGAAAGCUGGGGGCACGAACCGGAUUAGAUACCCGGGUAGUCCCAGCCGUAAACGAUGCUCGCUAGGUGUCAGGCAUGGCGCGACCGUGUCUGGUGCC